GAGGAAUUUUUUCAUUUCUCACCAAUGGCUUUGAGGGGCACUCGGAGAGUGACAUCUGCCCAGACCAAUAAGGGCCAUCCUAUCCCCCGCGUCCCCCCUCCCCCCACCUCUUAUCUCUUCAGAGCGGUAAAUAAGGAAACCGGCAUGGGUGGAUUCGGUUAAUUAGACGGUGCUGAACGAAGGGAAGGGUGCUGGUGAGGGCGCGGCGCGAGAAGGAGGCUUCAAGCUGCCACAACCCUCCCCCACCCCUCCCCGCGGUGGUUGCGACAGAACGGGUUCAGCCGCCAUCAUGUUCUAGCUUUCCCCUUCACCUCAGUACGCGACCGAAAAAGCGGCCUCUGUGGGGGUCGGGGGCGUGGCCCCGUGAUUGGCGCAGGCGUGCCAGCCAAUCUCAGCUCGCUCAACGGGAAGGUCCCGGCCAAUAAGAGGCAGCGACGGCGGCGAGGAGCGAAGGGGCGGGCCGAGGGCUUGACGGGCAGUCGCACUGGGCCAGUGGGAGGAGGGCGGUGGCGGCGCGUGGCCAAUGGCGUGCCCGAGGAGGCGGGUCCCCGGCUGUUUGUGUUGUGGCCGGGGCGGGGGGAGGGAGGCGGAGGGGGAAAGUUUGUUUAUUUUGUUUUGAGUUUCUGGGUCCGCGGCGCUCGCGGAGGUGAAGAGGGAGGGAGUCGCCCCCGCCCCCUCGGGCCGCGUCUCCCACGCCGUCUCCUCGGCCGGCGGGGACUCAGCCCAGCGCGCCGCCGCCGCCACCGGCUCAGCGGCCGUAUUUGUGUGUUUCUGCAGAGUUUUGCACAGAUUCUGUUCCCAUGCAAACCGAUGAGGGAGAAAUAUUGGAAGAAAGCUGCUCGGAGGUGGGACAUGAAGAUUUGGUAAUGGAAGGGCAUGGCAAGACUCCGCCUCCUGGUGAAGAAAGCCAACAGCUCACCCCUCAGGGCCAUCUCGUGGGAUGAGGCCUGCUGCUGCUCGUCCUGCCAGCGCUCUCUUCAUUUCCUGGCACGCUGUGUGUGCGGCAGAAACGCACCUCCCGACCUUCCCGGGAAGCCCAGUCUCCUCUGUACAACGAGAGAGCGCAGUGGCCUAGGAGCAGGUAGGGCUGGGCCAGCUGGCAGCCAUCUCCUCGGCUGCUGUCCCGCUUUACCAUUCUUCACUUUUUCACCCUUCAUCCUUUCCGCCUCUUUCUCCUUCUGUUCCUCCUGGUCCACCUCCUGUCCUUGUCCCGUGCACACAGAGAAAGCCACGCAGCCAACACCCCUCUCUUGGCAUGCUUUUGACAAAACGUCAUUCCUCUGCGAUUUGAGCUUUUAGAGAGCGAGAGCUGUCCUCGGCCUGUGGGCUGUCUGCUUCUCAGAGCACUUGGGAGUGUCUCUGCUGAUGGUCCCAGACACGGUUGGCUGGGCAAGAUCGAGGUGAGUGGAGCCUGGCAGACUGGCCCAUUUUCAUGUCCUGCCUUGCAUUUAUGCCUGCCAGUAUGUAAAAUAGCGAGCUGGGGUGGGGCUGGGGGGGUGGUUGCUGUGGCCCAGUGAGCAGGUCCAGUUUGUCCGCAUUUGGAAAUUCUCUCGUGGCCAUAUUGCUCAGGAAUUCAGCCCGACCCGUGCUCCUCCUCCAUUUCUGCUGCUGUCCACCUCCUCUUUUCUUUCAUUACUUUCACUUUUACAAUGCUGACAGGUGAAUGGCCUGGAUAAUUUUUGUCUGUACAGUUCUAGUAAAUGAUUUCUAGAAUUAAUUUUAGUUUGUGUUGUUUCAAGAGUCUCAUUUGACUGAUGACCACGAUGGUAGAUGUGAGCCUGAGAACGCUGGCCAUACAUAUGGAUGCCUUUUCCUGAGCUGUACAUCUGCCCUUCUCAUUGCCGAGCUCUUCUGCUUGGAGAGAAGCCAGAAAGCCUAAUACUGGAUCUGUCUGCCCUGGUUGCACACCUGGCCUUGGCUCUGCUACGGUCACUGUUGGGCCUCCCUGACAGUGAAAGGGACAAUUCAACGUUGAGUUAAGAUCGGUAGGCUAGCUACGUGUAACUGGAUGUCCAUUAAAAAAUCUGGCCUAGAAGCGUAGCCCUGAGGUAAAGCUUUUGUGACUUAUUCUUAAAACUAAGUAACAAAAGGUGACAGGUUGUUUUGUCUGCUAGCGUCUGAAAACUGCUGACAACAUGGACGUCGUUUCAAAACUUGGGACAGACAAGUGUGUGUUAAUUGACUGCUUUGUCAACUAACUUGUAAAAACAAUUGGAGGUCCUGUGUGGCCAUCACGUGCAGAAUGUUUGACCCCAGAUGCAGUGGAAAACCAUCAUUUUUCGUGGCCUCCAGAGCCCUCCUAAGGCCGCACAGGAACUGUCACCCUGGCAGAGGAGAUUUUGCUGCUUACGUGAGGCUCCUCCUGCCGUGUAGUCAUGACAUCUGGUCAGGAAAAACUUCAUAGCCAAAGUCACAAAGUCACAUUGAAGAGCUCAAAACCCCUCCUGCCCAUUCCUCCUAGAAGUCGUUACCUGACAGGAGAAAUUGUGGAAAAUCACAGGAAUAGAAAGUGAAUCCAGAUGUAAUCAAAGCAUUAGAUGGCUUAGCUGAAAGAGAUUUGGAAUUCUUUGUAGGUGACAGAUGUUUGAAAUAAUAGGGAAGAGGGGAAGAGGGAAAGACAGGCCAGUGCUUCAGCAUCAUGGAUUCCCCCUUCUCCUGAAUGGCUUGUGGGCUGCAGCAGCAGCUGAGGCUGGUGUGUGUCAGCAGAAGAGAGCAAAGCAGCUCUGUGCUCUCUGUCCUGUUCACUUGGCUUCCUUCCGGCACCUGAGCAACUGAACCCUAUGGAAAAUGAUUUCCCUAUUAGCCUCUGUUCCUUUGGAAGCCAUUUUGUCAUCCACUAGCCUUUCCCUGAUAAGAGUAUCCGUACAACCUCACUGCGGUCAAGAGCGAGCAUUGUGUGGUGUCUCCUUGUGGGUUUGAACAGAAGUGGGGUAGCUGUCUGCCCACCAAAUGUUUCCAGCUGAGAAAAUGCUAAUGAUGCUUCCAGCACCUUUCACGUAUCUGUGUGCUUUGAGUGAGGGUCCAGUAUUUCAUCCCUCCCCCACUCCAGUCCCCCCCCCCAUCUAUACCUUACAUCUUCUUGAGCUGCCGACGGGUCAUGGCAUCCCUUUUAUCGUAGCAAAGAGCUGGAAACCAGGGAGAUGCCCAGUAAUGGACAGUGGUUAAUCACAGAGUGGUAGAGAAACGUGAUGGCGUAUUACUGAGCUUCCCGAAAUUAUAAUGGUGACAAAUUCAGAGAAGCUUAGGAAGACUUGGGGAAAUGAUAUGCGGAGCAGAGCACACAAAACCAGCACUGGCAGCGUGGAAUUAUUUAAUAAAUGCUUGCUGAUCUCAUUCA
rnacentral:lncRNA from 1 species